rnacentral:rRNA from 1 species
UACGUAGGGUGCAAGCGUUAAUCGGAAUUACUGGGCGUAAAGCGUGCGCAGGCGGGUAUGCAAGGCAGAGGUGAAAUCCCCGGGCUCAACCUGGGAACUGCCUUUGUGACUGCAUAGCUAGAGUACGGUAGAGGGGGAUGGAAUUCCGCGUGUAGCAGUGAAAUGCGUAGAUAUGCGGAGGAACACCGAUGGCGAAGGCAAUCCCCUGGACCUGUACUGACGCUCAUGCACGAAAGCGUGGGGAGCAAACAGG